CAUUAAAACAAUAUUGUCAUAUUUUUUGAAUUUUUCUCAAAAUCUAUCUGUUAACCCCUACAAAAUACUAAGUUUUUAGGUAAAUGGUUAAUAUACUGAAGCCUAUAAUCUUUAGUGUUGUUUACAAAUUUUUAACCACAUUCUACAUUUGUAUUAAAGUAUUCUAAACUCUAUUUCAUGGUACAUGGACAUUGUUCUUGUUUUUUAUCAAUUAAUUUAGUA
rnacentral:lncRNA from 1 species